CUUGACGAUCAUAGAGCGUUGGAACCACCUGAUCCCUUCCCGAACUCAGAAGUGAAACGACGCAUCGCCGAUGGUAGUGUGGGGUCUCCCCAUGUGAGAGUAG
rnacentral:rRNA from 1 species